CCCGCGGUGGCGGACCGCCGGGCCGCGCGGGCUCCCGUCCGGUACGGGAGUCCCGUCCGGUACGGGACGGCGGGA
rnacentral:tRNA from 1 species